UAGUCCAAUGGGUCAUUCCUGUUUACUAUGGCCUCAAGGAAUGUGGCCCUUGACCC
rfam:Tupaia chinensis contig235786, whole genome shotgun sequence.